GACGUAGGGUCCAAGCGUUGUCCGGAUUUACUGGGCGUAAAGAGCGCGUAGGCGGCUCGUUAAGUGUGAAGUGAAAUCUCUAGGGCUCAACCCAGAAACUGCUUUACAUACUGCCGAGCUGGAGUGAUGAAGAGGUUUGUGGAAUUCCUGGUGUAACGGUGAAAUGUGUUGAUAUCAGGAGGAACACCCAUGGCGAAGGCAGCAAACUGGUCAUCAACUGACGCUGAGGCGCGAAAGCGUGGGUAGCAAACAGG
rnacentral:rRNA from 1 species